rnacentral:rRNA from 1 species
GACGAACCGACCGAACGUUAUUCGGAAUUACUGGGCUUAAAGGGUGCGUAGGCGGCCUUGCAAGUCAGAUGUGAAAUCCCACGGCUCAACCGUGGAACUGCGUUUGAAACUGCAAGGCUUGAGGGAGAUAGGGGUGAGCGGAACUGAUGGUGGAGCGGUGAAAUGCGUUGAUAUCAUCAGGAACACCGGUGGCGAAGGCGGCUCACUGGGUCUCUUCUGACGCUGAGGCACGAAAGCUAGGGGAGCGAACGGG